UACAGAGGGUGCGAGCGUUGUCCGGAAUCACUGGGCGUAAAGGGCGCGUAGGUGGUGGCUUAAGCGUGCGGUGAAAGCUCGGAGCUCAACUCCGAGUCGGCCGUGCGAACUGGGCUCACUGGAGCAUAGUAGAGGCAGGUGGAAUUCCGGGUGUAGCGGUGGAAUGCGUAGAGAUCCGGAAGAACACCGGUGGCGAAGGCGGCCUGCUGGGCUAUGGCUGACACUGAUGCGCGACAGCGUGGGGAGCAAACAGG
rnacentral:rRNA from 1 species